UACGUAGGGUGCAAGCGUUAAUCGGAAUUACUGGGCGUAAAGCGUGCGCAGGCGGCUUUGCAAGACAGAUGUGAAAUCCCCGGGCUUAACCUGGGAACUGCACUUGUGACUGCACAGCUGGAGUGCGGCAGAGGGGGAUGGAAUUCCGCGUGUAGCAGUGAAAUGCGUAGAUAUGCGGAGGAACACCGAUGGCGAAGGCAAUCCCCUGGGCCUGCACUGACGCUCAUGCACGAAAGCGUGGGGAGCAAACAGG
rnacentral:rRNA from 1 species